GACGCUCGCGUGUAUCGACGAUGAUGACGUUACCCGGUUCAAAGUAGAUUAGUUGUAGCAAUGAAUAAUGAAACUCCAAACUCCAAGCA